UGAUAUUGUAUGAACAGAAACCAGCAGGACAAACUUAACUAAAAUCAACUUUUGUGUUCAGGAAAAAAUAAAAAAUACCCCAAGGAUUGAACAGUGAGGGACCCCAAUCCCCCAGCAGCGACCUGGAGUAAAGAGCGUUGCUGAAGGACACAGCGGUGGUGACGACUGCGGAGAUCGAACCAGCAACCUUCUGCUGACCAGUGCAGUGCUUUAGCCCACUACACCACAAAAUCGUACUCAUGGAGAGCAGGCACACAAAUGUUUGGAGCAGACACAGCAGCAGCCAGAUUGUCCCGCACGUGUUCACCUGCUCUUGCUUCAAGAUUGUGUGGU